rnacentral:lncRNA from 1 species
AUGUACUAAUGGAGUCUAAGGGUGGCAAGAAGUCUAGCAGUAGUCGUUCCAUGAUGUAUGAAGCUCCCCUUGGCUACAGCAUUGAGGACGUUCGACCUGCCGGAGGCGAGAAGAAGUUCCAGUCUGCUGCUUACUCCAACGUAAGAAUCAAUAAUCAUUGUUAUACUCUUCAUUCUACUUUUGUUGUUUCUGAUUUGUUGCUAACAUUGUCUUUUUCUACUGCAGUGCGCGAAGAAGCCAUCCUGAUAUCCCUUCCGUGCUUCCCCGUCCUAGUAGUUUAGGAUUUCUUUUCUAACGCUUUGAUUCUGACCAAUCUCUCUGGCCUGCUGCUUCCUGAUAAUCGACCAGUUCUCGAGUCUUGCUCCCUGCACUCCUCCCUCCAUCUCCAGCAUCGUUUUCUCACUCACCCGCUCCAAUGGCUGUUCUUUCUGCUGCUGACGCUCACCCGGUCUCAGCGAUCGGGUUUGAGGGCUAUGAGAAGCGCCUUGAGAUCACCUUCUCUGAGGCGCCUGUCUUUGUCGACCCUCAUGGGCGUGGUUUGCGUGCCCUUUCCAGGGCCCAGAUUGAUUCUGUUUUGGAUCUUGCACGGUGCACCAUCGUGUCCGAGCUCUCCAACAAGGAUUUUGACUCCUAUGUCCUCUCUGAGUCGAGCCUGUUUAUCUAUCCUCUGAAGAUUGUCAUCAAAACAUGUGGGACUACCAAGCUCCUGCUCACCAUUCCAAGGAUUAUUGAGCUUGCUGAAGAGCUGUCUAUGCCGCUUGCUGCUGUGAAGUACUCCCGUGGGAUGUUCAUCUUCCCCGGUGCACAGCCAGCCCCCCACAGGAGCUUCUCUGAGGAGGUUGCUGCCCUUAACCGCUACUUUGGUGGCCUGAAGUCUGGUGGUAAUGCUUAUGUGAUUGGAGAUCCUGCAAGACCUGGACAGAAGUGGCACAUCUACUAUGCCACCGAGUACCCAGAGCAACCCAUGGUUAACCUUGAGAUGUGCAUGACUGGUCUGGACAAGAAGAAAGCUUCAGUCUUUUUCAAGACUUCUGCUGAUGGCCACACAACGUGUGCCAAAGAAAUGACCAAGCUCUCUGGUAUCUCUGAAAUUAUUCCUGAGAUGGAGAUCUGUGAUUUUGACUUUGAACCCUGCGGCUACUCCAUGAACGCUAUCCAUGGCUCUGCUUUCUCCACCAUUCAUGUGACGCCUGAGGAUGGUUUCAGCUAUGCCAGCUAUGAAGUUAUGGGCUUCGACGCCACUGCACUUGCCUACGGCGACCUCGUGAAGAGGGUCCUCAGGUGCUUUGGCCCUUCGGAGUUCUCUGUUGCUGUGACUAUCUUUGGUGGGCGUGGCCAAGCCGCGACAUGGGGCAUGAAGCUUGAUGCUGAGGUUUACGACUGCAACAACAUGGUAGAGCAGGAGCUGCCCGGUGGUGUGCUUAUCUACCAGAGCUUUUCUGUUACUGAAGAUGCUAUUGUUGGCUCGCCCAAAUCUGUUCUUCAUUGCUUCGAGGGUGAGAACCUGGAGAAUGCUGCUCCUGUGAAGGACGGCAAACUGGCUAAUCUUCUCUGCUGGGAGGAAGAGGAUGCCAUGGAGGAGAAGGACGGCGUGCUUGCUGAGUAAGACUGGGGAAGGUGUCGAUUUGCUGCUGAGUUAUUUUUUUUUCUAAAUGUUGCGAUUGUCGUUUGGUUAUUGUGUGAAGCAGCCAAGCCAGGCUAUUUAUUAUGAAAAUGAUCGAUUGUAAGCAUGGGUUCUGAUGUGCCACAUGCUAAUGAUCAAUCUGAAUAAGUAUACCGCUCUAGGUGGUCAGCUGCGUCUACCACAAUGAGCAUACGUAUGGAGAAAUGUCUGUCAAAGCAAUUUAUGA